UAAAAAGCUCGUAGUUGGAUCUCAACAGCCUUGAAGCGGUUAACUUUGUAGUUUUACUGCUUUAUAGGCUGUGCUCUUGCUGGAGGUUUAGGGGUGCUCUUGAUCGAGUGUCUCUGGAUGCCAGCAGGUUUACUUUGAAAAAAUUAGAGUGCUCAAAGCAGGCUAAAAUGCCUGAAUAUUCGUGCAUGGAAUAAUAGAAUAGGAUGUCGAUCCUAUUUUGUUGGUUUUCGGGACUCGACAUAAUGAU
rnacentral:rRNA from 1 species